AACGAACGCUGGCGGCAUGCCUAACACAUGCAAGUCGAACGAGACCUUCGGGUCUAGUGGCGCACGGGUGCGUAACGCGUGGGAACCUGCCCUUAGGUUCGGAAUAACUCCCCGAAAGGGGUGCUAAUACCGGAUAAUGUCUUCGGACCAAAGAUUUAUCGCCUUUGGAUGGGCCCGCGUUGGAUUAGCUAGUUGGUUGGGUAAAAGCCUACCAAGGCGACGAUCCAUAGCUGGUCUGAGAGGAUGAUCAGCCACACUGGGACUGAGACACGGCCCAGACUCCUACGGGAGGCAGCAGUGGGGAAUAUUGGACAAUGGGCGAAAGCCUGAUCCAGCAAUGCCGCGUGAGUGAUGAAGGCCUUAGGGUUGUAAAGCUCUUUUACCCGGGAUGAUAAUGACAGUACCGGGAGAAUAAGCUCCGGCUAACUCCGA
rnacentral:rRNA from 1 species